AUACAUAUGUCACGAAGUGACUUUGAGGGCGGAACCAAAAGUGAGAGGAGAAGUUCCGCCCGGACCGAAAUGUGUAAGCCCUUGUCACUUCCGGAAACUCCGGACGCCCCAAAUCAAGGGAAAUCUUCAGCAGGUGUGUUCAAUGACGUGGCGAUUGCAGACGGGGCAGUUUGGGAGUAUAAAGAGAGCAUUGAGGAUACAGGAAGGAGUGUUGUUUUGCCUCCCAAGGAACGCCACGAGUGAGACGGAGUGUUUUGGGCGCUGGAGUAGGGCGAAGCAGAUGAGAGCAAUUGUGGAGUCGCUAAGCGAAUUGGAGGAUUUGAAAACGGCUACUGGAACAGGUUUGCCAAAGCGAAGUUUGUGGAAAGAAGUCGUACUCACCCGUGUCUGUUGUAUGAAGGUUCCGCAGGGAAAUAGUGCCAUUGUGGAACAACGAAAACACUUCCGGGCGUCUGUACGAAGCUGGGGAGAGAAAGAGAGCGGGAGAAGAUCAGUAUCACGAAGACUCUUGUUGAGUGGCCCCAUCGUGGAGGACGAGACGAGUGGGUGAGCCGAAGUAGAGUGGGGGUGAAUGGAUGUUAUUUGGCUGUGGCCACACCGUAAAGUUUGGAGCACUUACCGUGCCAGCGACUGUAAACUCCUCCAGGACGAAAUCCGACCGGGCGUGGAGUACCGACCUUAAAAGUCACUGAAGUGUGUGUAGUGCAGUGGGUGAGUCUGUCUUUGACGUGUGUACACCGAAGUUUUGCAGUGCUGUGCCGUGUCCCUGUUGUCUGUACUCGCCCUCCAGGCCGAGAAAAGUUCCUGUUGGAGAGAACGUAGGCUGCCGUGGCGAUGCCCACCUAUCCCACCUACGCCCGCCUAUAACUCCGUUCCCCGUACCUAGCCUGAAGGAGGUGAAGCGUGAAUGCAAAACAAGGGACUUGUGUGUUACCUUGUACUUACCUAGGAGGUCUAUGGGAGUGGAGGAGCUGUCCAGACGCUGGAGAAGAGAAGGGCACCACGGGAAAUCAAGCCGCUAAGGAAGGACUUAGGAUCAGUCAGGAGAUUGGUGGGAGUUCUGUGAAAGGACGAAAGAGCCCUUUGCCCCCCCACCUCCCCUUGUGAUUACUUACCAACGACCUCCAGAUUUCUCAGGCCCAGUCUCCUCCUGUCAAGAGACG
ensembl:lncRNA